GAUGAAGAACGUAGCGAAAUGCGAUAAGUAAUGUGAAUUGCAGAAUUCAGUGAAUCAUCGAAUCUUUGAACGCACAUUGCGCCCGCCAGUAUUCUGGCGGGCAUGCCUGUUCGAGCGUCAUUUCAACCAUCAAGCCCCAGGCUUGUGUUGGGGACCUGCGGCUGCCGCAGGCCCUGAAAACCAGUGGCGGGCUCGCUGUCACACCGGGCGUAGUAGAUUUUAUCUCGCUCAGGGCGUGCUGCGGGUUCCGGCCGUUAAAAAGCCUUUUUUACCCAAGGUUGACCUCGGAUCAGGUAGGAAGACCCGCUGAACUUAAGCAUAUCAAUAAGCGGAA
rnacentral:misc_RNA from 1 species